UGGGGAAUAUUGCACAAUGGGCGAAAGCCUGAUGCAGCGACGCCGCGUGAGGGAUGACGGACUUCGGGUUGUAAACCUCUUUCAGCAGGGACGAAGCGCAAGUGACGGUACCUGCAGAAGAAGCACCGGCUAACUACGUGCCAGCAGCCGCGGUAAUACGUAGGGUGCAAGCGUUGUCCGGAAUUACUGGGCGUAAAGAGUUCGUAGGCGGUUUGUCGCGUCGUUUGUGAAAACCAGCAGCUCAACUGCUGGCUUGCAGGCGAUACGGGCAGACUUGAGUACUGCAGGGGAGACUGGAAUUCCUGGUGUAGCGGUGAAAUGCGCAGAUAUCAGGAGGAACACCGGUGGCGAAGGCGGGUCUCUGGGCAGUAACUGACGCUGAGGAACGAAAGCGUGGGUAGCGAACAGG
rnacentral:rRNA from 1 species